rnacentral:misc_RNA from 1 species
AACGCACAUUGCGCCCGCCGGAAUUCCGGCGGGCAUGCCUGUUCGAGCGUCAUUUCAACCCUCAAAUCCCUAGGAUUUGAUGUUGGGACCCCCGCAAACGCGGGGGCCCUCAAAUCUAUAGGCGGUACCGCACGGCACUGAACGCAGUAAUCUUUAUUCGUUCGGCUCGUUUGGCGGCCACCUGCCCCUAAAAACGCUAAAAUUGCAACAAGGUUGACCUCGGAUCAGGUAGGAAUACCCGCUGAACUUAA